CCACAAUUUCCAGCAGUCCUAGCUCAUCCAGAACAGAGACCUCAACAGUCUCCAGCCCAGGGUGCUCUUUUGCACAGAGUUGUAUCGAGUUGGAUGAAUCACUUUCAGCUUUGGAAGCUGACUGGUUCCUUCGGUUUGAGAUACCAUGGGAAAAACUCCCUACUGACCUCCUUUACAAGUUAGAAAGGCCAUCGCCAAAGCAACGCAGAGAAAUGAUACGACUCAUUAUUAAUGAAGUCACAGGGGUCUGCAAGAGGCCUUCAAAGAAACAUCUUACAGAUAUAGCAAGAAGAAUUGUGGCAAAAUAUCCUAAAUCUUUGCAGGAUGUUAUCGAAGGCCACAUAGUUGGCAGUGGAUAUGAUUCCUUGGUAAAACAGCUGCAGAGCAGAUAAUGUGACGCGUACACAGUUUUCUACCCCCAAAAGACAGUUUCAACACAGUAGUGGGAGCGACACGGAAGAAGUUCCUGCAAAGGAACAAGCUUUACCUCAAGACACUUAUGGUUGCAUAAACUGGGAUCCCGAGCACCUGCCAAUCACAGAGACACUUGCAAGUCAAAAACAGCAACAACAAGAAAUGAAAACCUACACUCAGAGAAAAGACAUCAUCUGAGGUAUGGAAACUGAAAAAAUAAGGAGGGAGUGGCCAUUUCUGUUUGAAAUGCCAGGAUUACAAGCACACUUCAGGGCACUUACAGGUGUACAAUUAGAAGGGAAAUUUUUUGAGACCGUAAAAAACAAAUCGCACAGAAUUCUGGCCUACAUGGACACUCAACAAUGAGAAACAAAGAAAAACUGCAAGAGUUUUGGCACAGAUCGAAGUUGCAAAGAAGGACACAGUCUAAAUUACCGGAGAUGCCAGGGUUGGUUUUGCUGCUGCUUGCUUACUUUGGUGAAGACGACAAGCAAAUGUUUUUCCAGGUGGAUGACACUUGCUUACCUUCUGAAGUGCCAACAUCUGAUCUGCCUGCAUCACCUUGCAUUAUUUUCUGUGGAGAUUCCCUUCUGACUGCAUCCCGCUUAAUGCUGAGCAUUGAUAAAGUUGUUGUUACAGAACAACAAACUAACUUUGUGGAAGCUUUGCUUAUGAUGUUUGCAUCCUACUACUGCUUGAACAUCCAUUACCCAUCAGAGUUGGGAGCAACACUUGAAUUCCUUCAAAGAUGCAUCUUCAAAAUAAAUCCAGACAAAGGGACGAAGGUCGAACGGAAGCCACAUAAGAGGCAAUAUGCUGUGAAUCCAAGAGUUCUUUCCCUCAUUUCUGCAAUUGCUAAUUUUGAAUGGAGAGAAUAAAAUGCAAUUGUUAU